rnacentral:rRNA from 1 species
GUCCUCGAGAAAUCCACCCGCUCAACGGGUGGGCGUCCGGUGGAAACUGCGUGGCUUGGGACCGGAAGGCGCGACGGGUACGUCCGGGGUAGGAGUGAAAUCCCGUAAUCCUGGACGGACCGCCGAUGGCGAAAGCACGUCGCGAGGACGGAUCCGACAGUGAGGGACGAAAGCCAGGGUCUCGAACCGGAUUAGAUACCCGGGUAGUCCUGGCCGUAAACAAUGUCUGUUAGGUGUGGCUCCCACUACGAGUGGGUGCUGUGCCGUAGGGAAGCCGCUAAACAGACCGCCUGGGAAGUACGUCCGCAAGGAUGAAACUUAAAGGAAUUGGCGGGGGAGCACUACAACCGGAGGAGCCUGCGGUUUAAUUGGACUCAACGCCGGACAUCUCACCAGCAUCGACUGUAGUAAUGACGAUCAGGUUGAUGACCUUAUCCGAGCUUCAGAGAGGAGGUGCAUGGCCGCCGUCAGCUCGUACCGUGAGGCGUCCUGUUAAGUCAGGCAACGAGCGAGACCCGCAUCCUUACUUGCCAGCAGCACUGCGAAGUGGCUGGGGACAGUAGGGAGACCGCCGUGGCCAACACGGAGGAAGGAACGGGCAACGGUAGGUCAGUAUGCCCCGAAUGUGCUGGGCAACACGCGGGCUACAAUGGUCGAGACAAAGGGUUCCUACUCCGAAAGGAGACGGUAAUCUCAGAAACUCGAUCGUAGUUCGGAUUGUGGGCUGCAACUCGCCCACAUGAAGCUGGAUUCGGUAGUAAUCGCGUGUCAUAAGCGCGCGGUGAAUACGUCCCUGCUCCUUGCACACA